rnacentral:rRNA from 1 species
AGAGUUUGAUCCUGGCUCAGAUUGAACGCUGGCGGCAUGCCUUACACAUGCAAGUCGAACGGCAGCACGGGUGCUUGCACCUGGUGGCGAGUGGCGAACGGGUGAGUAAUACAUCGGAACAUGUCCUGUAGUGGGGGAUAGCCCGGCGAAAGCCGGAUUAAUACCGCAUACGAUCUGAGGAUGAAAGCGGGGGACCUUCGGGCCUCGCGCUAUAGGGUUGGCCGAUGGCUGAUUAGCUAGUUGGUGGGGUAAAGGCCUACCAAGGCGACGAUCAGUAGCUGGUCUGAGAGGACGACCAGCCACACUGGGACUGAGACACGGCCCAGACUCCUACGGGAGGCAGCAGUGGGGAAUUUUGGACAAUGGGCGCAAGCCUGAUCCAGCAAUGCCGCGUGUGUGAAGAAGGCCUUCGGGUUGUAAAGCACUUUUGUCCGGAAAGAAAUCCUACCGACUAAUACUGGGUGGGGAUGACGGUACCGGAAGAAUAAGCACCGGCUAACUACGUGCCAGCAGCCGCGGUAAUACGUAGGGUGCGAGCGUUAAUCGGAAUUACUGGGCGUAAAGCGUGCGCAGGCGGUUUGUUAAGACCGAUGUGAAAUCCCCGGGCUCAACCUGGGAACUGCAUUGGUGACUGGCAAGCUAGAGUAUGGCAGAGGGGGGUAGAAUUCCACGUGUAGCAGUGAAAUGCGUAGAGAUGUGGAGGAAUACCGAUGGCGAAGGCAGCCCCCUGGGCCAAUACUGACGCUCAUGCACGAAAGCGUGGGGAGCAAACAGGAUUAGAUACCCUGGUAGUCCACGCCCUAAACGAUGUCAACUAGUUGUUGGGGAUUCAUUUCCUUAGUAACGUAGCUAACGCGUGAAGUUGACCGCCUGGGGAGUACGGUCGCAAGAUUAAAACUCAAAGGAAUUGACGGGGACCCGCACAAGCGGUGGAUGAUGUGGAUUAAUUCGAUGCAACGCGAAAAACCUUACCUACCCUUGACAUGGUCGGAAUCCUGCUGAGAGGUGGGAGUGCUCGA